rnacentral:piRNA from 1 species
UUCCAUAUUGUUUAUCAAGCAUGGAUGGU